rnacentral:rRNA from 1 species
GAUGAACGCUAGCGAUAGGCUUAACACAUGCAAGUCGAGGGGCAGCAUGGUCUUAGCUUGCUAAGACUGAUGGCGACCGGCGCACGGGUGCGUAACGCGUAUGCAACUUGCCUCACAGAGGGGGAUAACCCGUCGAAAGACGGACUAAUACCGCGUACACUUGGGAUAGGGCAUCCUGACCCAAGGAAAUGAAAUUCGCUGUGAGAUAGGCAUGCGUCCCAUUAGCUAGUUGGUGAGGUAACGGCUCACCAAGGCGACGAUGGGUAGGGGAACUGAGAGGUUGAACCCCCACACUGGUACUGAGACACGGACCAGACUCCUACGGGAGGCAGCAGUGAGGAAUAUUGGUCAAUGGGCGAGAGCCUGAACCAGCCAAGUCGCGUGAAGGAUGACUGUCUUAUGGAUUGUAAACUUCUUUUAUACGGGAAUAACAAGAGCCACGUGUGGCUCCCUGCAUGUACCGUAUGAAUAAGCAUCGGCUAACUCCGUGC